UACGUAGGGUGCAAGCGUUAAUCGGAAUUACUGGGCGUAAAGCGUGCGCAGGCGGUUAUGUAAGACAGAUGUGAAAUGCCCGGGCUUAACCUGGGAACUGCAUUUGUGACUGCAUGGCUAGAGUUUGGCAGAGGGGGGUAGAAUUCCACGUGUAGCAGUGAAAUGCGUAGAUAUCAGGAAGAACACCCGUGGCGAAGGCGGCUCUCUGGGACGGUACUGACGCUGAGACGCGAAAGCGUGGGGAGCGAACAGG
rnacentral:rRNA from 1 species